rnacentral:rRNA from 1 species
AUGGUCUGCAUUAAGGCCAUUGCUUUUGUAGCUGUACUUGUCGCUGGUGCAUCGCUUGCCCCGGUGGGCGAGAGCCGCUAUGCUCGGAAGGACCUUGGUCUCAACCUCGGCCUUGGCGGGCUUGGAAUCGGUAUCGGCUUGGGUGCUGGUGUGGGCGCAGGUGGUUCCGGCUACAGUUCAGGCUCGGGCUCGGGAUCCGGUUCCGGAUCAGGGUCGGGUUCUGGUUCUGGGUCUGGUUCGGGGUCGGGCUCAGGAUCGGGGUCAGGUGGUCUAGGUCUUGGACUUGGUGUUGGAGUUGGUAUUGGUGGUGGUGGUGGUUCUAGUUCCGGUUCUGGAUCGGGUUCGGCAUCUGUCUCUCGUUCUGGAUCAAUUCCAGGCAUAGGAUCUGGUUCUGGAUCGGCAUCGGCUUCUGGGUCAGGCUCAGCCUCGGGAGGGGGUGGGCUUGGGCUUGGGGCUGGACUCGGUAUUGGAUUAGGUGGUGCUACUGGUGGCUCUAGCUCGAGUUCAGGGUCAGGCUCAGCUUCGGCUUCAGGCUCUGGGUCGGGAAGCGGCUCAAGGGAUGGAUCAGGUGCUAGCUCUAGUGCAGGAUCCGAGGCAGGAUCAAGUGCGGGGUCCAGUGCCGGAUCAAGUGCGGGGUCCAGUGCAGGCUCUAGUGCCGGAUCAGAGGCAGGUUCCGAAGCCAGAAGAGUGCAAGGCCACCAUUGA